AUUGAACGCUGGCGGCAGGCCUAACACAUGCAAGUCGAACGAGUGGCGGACGGGUGAGUAAUGUCUGGGAAACUGCCCGAUGGAGGGGGAUAACUACUGGAAACGGUAGCUAAUACCGCAUACCAUCGGAUGUGCCCAGAUGGGAUUAGCUAGUAGGUGGGGUAACGGCUCACCUAGGCGACGAUCCCUAGCUGGUCUGAGAGGAUGACCAGCCACACUGGAACUGAGACACGGUCCAGACUCCUACGGGAGGCAGCAGUGGGGAAUAUUGCACAAUGGGCGCAAGCCUGAUGCAGCCAUGCCGCGUGUAUGAAGAAGGCCUUCGGGUUGUAAAGUACUGUCAGCGAGGAGGCGUUAACCGCAGAAGAAGCACCGGCUAACUCCGUGCCAGCAGCCGCGGUAAUAC
rnacentral:rRNA from 1 species